GAUGAACGCUAGCGGCAGGCCUAACACAUGCAAGUCGAGGGGUAACUAGAGUGAUAGCAAUAUUAAUUUGGCUAGACCGGCGCACGGGUGCGUAACACGUAUGCAACCUAACUUAUACUGGGGCAUAACCUCGAGCAAUCGGCGCUCAUACCCCAUAACAUUGCGAAGAGGUCUCUCCUUGCAAUUAAAGCUCAGGCGGUAUAAGAUGGGCGUGCGUCCAAUUAGCUAGUUGGUGAGGUAACGGCUCACCAAGGAUACGAUUGGUAGGGGUUCUGAGAGGAUGAUCCCCCACACUGGUACUGAGACACGGACCAGACUCCUACGGGAGGCAGCAGUGAGGAAUAUUGCGCAAUGACGAAAGUCUGACGCAGCCAUGCCGCGUGCAGGAUGACGGCCCUAUGGGUUGUAAACUGCUUUUGUACGGGAAUAAACCCUUCUACGUGUAGGAGGCUGAAGGUACCGUAAGAAUAAGCACCGGCUAACUCCGUGCCAGCCGCCGCGGUAACAC
rnacentral:rRNA from 1 species